rnacentral:lncRNA from 1 species
AAGCCACAAACGGUCUUGCUUCCAGCACUUUGGGAAGCUAAGAAACAACUCACUCUUCACAGUGCUCUUACAGCUACCAGGAAUAUGUCUCACUAAGAUGUGUGAAACGCAGUUGCUUCCCAGCUGUGAUCUCGCUGAAGUAGAACUUCUGCUCACCCGUGUCCUACAUUGCCCUAGAGGUGCAAGGCACAAAGUCCUGUCUUGUUUCCUCAAGGGGAGACAGGCCACAAAGCGACUUCCUUCCAGCUCUUUGGGAAGCUAAGAAACAACUCGCUCUCCACAGAGCUCUUGCAGCCUCCCAGGAACAACUCUCUCAAAGGCCUGUGAAACGCAGUUUCUUCCCAGCCCUGAUCUUGCUGAAGUAGAACUUCUUCUCUGCCGUGUAAUACAUUGCCCUAGAGGUGGAAGUCACAAAGCACUCUCUGGCUUCCUUAAGUGGAGAUGGGCUACAGACCGUCCUGCUUCCAGUUCUUUCUCAAGGUGAGAAAGAACUCACUUUCCCCUGGGCUCUUACAGCCUACUCGGAACCUCUCAUACAAAGACCUGACGCAGUUUGUUUGGAGCACUAAUCCCGCCGCCUUGGAUCUUCUGCUCUAAGCCUUGUCCUACAUUGCUCUAGAGGUCGAAGUCACUAACACUGAUUCAUUACCUCCAAAGGAGACAAGCCACAAACGGUCUUGCUUCCAGCUCUUUGGGAAUCCAAGAAAUAACUCGCUCUCCACAGUGCUCUUACAGCCUACUGGGGACAUCUCUGAAACAGGCCUGUGAAACGCAGUUUCUUCCCAGCCGUGAUCUAGCUGGAGUAGAACUUCUGCUCCCCAGUGUAAUACUUUGCCCUAGAGGUGGAAAUCACAAAGCCCUGCCUGGCUUCCUUAAGAGGAGACAAGCCACAGACCAUCUGGCUUCCAGGUCUUUCGCAAGGUGAGAAAGAACUCGCUUUCCCCUGGGCUCUUACAGCCUACCGGGAACCUCUCAUACAAAAUCCUGAAACGCAGUUUGUUUCCAGCCCGGAUCUCGUCGACUUGGAACUUCUGCUACAAGCCAUGCCCUACAUUGGUCCAGAGGUGGAAGUGACAAACCGCUGAGUCAUUGCCUUCAAAGGAGACAAUCCACAAACAAUCUUGCUUCCAGCUCUUGAGAAGCUAAGAAACAAGUCGCUCUCCACAGUUCUCUUACAGCCUACCGGGAACAUCUCUCAC